UUCGGGGUGAGCGGCGGACGGGUGAGUAACGCGUGGGAAUAUGCCCUUCUCUAAGGAAUAGCCUCGGGAAACUGAGAGUAAUACCUUAUACGCCCUACGGGGGAAAGAUUUAUCGGAGAAGGAUUAGCCCGCGUUAGAUUAGGUAGUUGGUGGGGUAAUGGCCUACCAAGCCUACGAUCUAUAGCUGGCUUGAGAGGAUGAUCAGCCACACUGGGACUGAGACACGGCCCAGACUCCUACGGGAGGCAGCAGUAGGGAAUCUUAGACAAUGGGGGAAACCCUGAUCUAGCCAUGCCGCGUGUGUGAUGAAGGCCUUAGGGUCGUAAAGCACUUUCGCCAGAGAUGAUAAUGACAGUAUCUGGUAAAGAAACCCCGGCUAACUCCGUGCCAGCAGCCGCGGUAAUACGGAGGGGGUUAGCGUUGUUCGGAAUUACUGGGCGUAAAGCGCACGUAGGCGGAUUA
rnacentral:rRNA from 1 species